AUGUGCAUGCACACAGGGACCUGUGCAUACACCUGGAGCAGGGUAGUUGGGAACUCGGUGGUGGCGGCUGGGCAGACCAAACUUCGCUCGUACUCGUGCACCUCGCUCCGCUUUUCCUCUGCAACCAUGUCUGACUAACCUGAUAUGGCUGAGAUCGAGAAAUUCCAUAAGUAGAAACUGAAGAAGACAGAGAUGCAAGAGAAAAAUCCACUGCCUUCCAAAGAAACGAUUGAACAGGAGAAGCAAGCAGGCGAAUCGUAACGAGGCGUGCGCCGCCAAUAUGUACUGUACAUUCCACAAGCAUUGCCUUCUUAUUUUACUUCUUUUAGCUGUUUAACUUUGUAAGAUGCAAAGAGGUUGGAUCAAGUUUAAAUGACUGUGUUGCCCCUUUCACAUCAAAGAACUACUGACAACGAAGGCCGCGCCUGCCUCUCCCAUCUGUCUAUCUGGCUGGCAGGGAAGGAAAGAACUUGCAUGUUGGUGAAGGAAGAAGUGGGGUGGAAGACGUGGGGUAGGAUGAUAGUGAAAUCUAGAGUAAAACCAAGCUGGCCCAAGGUGUCCUGCAGGCUGUAAUGCAGUUUAAUCAGAGUGCCAUUUUUUUUUUCGUUCAAAUGAUUUUAAUUAUUGGAAUGCACAAUUUUUUAAAUAUGCAAAUAAAAAGUUUAAAAACUUAAAAA